CCCGGGAGGCGGAGAUUGCAAUAAGCCGAGAUCGUGCCACUGCACUCCAGCCUGAGCAAUAGAGCAAGACGCCCUUUCAAAAAAAUAAAAAAUAAAGGACACCUGAAAACUCUAGCAAGGUAACAGAUUAAAACCAAGUGCAGAACAGGCACCAAAACUUCUUCACAUAAUCUGAGGAAACAGUUCAAGAAUCAGGGGCAAAGUUAGAGUUAGAUUUCAUGGAAAAAAAUCAUUCACCUCAUCCCUCAAGCAGAAGACUAUGAAUAUUCUAAAUUCCAAUGCACUUCUCCAACUCUCCUGUUUCUGCUCCCCUUACGAUUGUUAUGAAUCUCAGCCACCAUCAAAAUUAUUACAAUCUUGCUCAUCAACACAGGGAUGAAUUAGAGGGCCUUUUCUAAACAGGGUCCUUCCAAGAAAACUAUCUCAUCACAUCUACUUUCAACAGCUGUAUCAUUCCAAUUAUCCUGUAGACAGAAGGGGCCCAGAAAGCAGGAGCACUCAGAGUUGCUGCAAAGGGAACAAUGGACCUCUCCCCCUUUGCUAGAAGGGCCACCUUGACUAUAGAAAAGGAGCUGAUCCUGGUCUAAAACUCUUUAAACUCAAAGUUAUCUCAAUAGCUGUUCUUCCAAACCCUAAACCUUACAGAGGUAGGUCACUGACACUAAGUUUAAAAUAUGUCCUCUCCCUUUAUGUUUCCAAAGCCGGGGGGAGGGGUAAAGAAAGGAGCUUCUUCUCCAGAAAAUAAUCCCCUCAAACACAUUCAAGAGCUUGGAGUCAGACUGAAGUCUCGACUCCAUUCUGGGUGGAUAGUCGAGGGUGACAACCCAAGGGGGCGGGGCAAGCUUCCUAGAACUCUGAAAGUAGUCAAGCCAUGGAGCCUCGGAGAGCCGAGGAUCAAAACCGAGAAGCCAAGUCGGCUUCUAGGGCCACGUUAAGAGAGGGGGCUGCUCUGUUAAGCACAGAGACCAAACGUCUUGCACCUUUUAACAGGCUCGGGGCAGGAAGCAGGAGCCGGAAUCUGGGCCGGGAGACGAAGGGAUGGUCUAGGACCUGCUCCUGGAUGGUGGAUGCGUGAGAUCCAGGUUAGACUUCGUUCCUAACGUCAAGGCUCCCAGGCUCCACUUCCGGUUCCGAGGGGGCCGUCCCGUCACCCCCGGAAGUUCCUCCUCCACGCUUUAGGGCCGGGCCACUUCUUCUGCCACGUCUGCAUUUCGGGGACCCGGAUGCCGCGCAUGCGCCUCUUUCAUCUUCCCAUCAUGGCCGCCGCCUGUGCGCCUCUGCUGAGUCACCCUGCACUCAUUGGAUCAGCUGACUACCUAGACCAGUAACCUGGCUCAAUCAGUUCUGCCAUUCCACCCAGGAACAGAAAACAGCAAGAAAACCUCACUUUGACUCCCUGUGAUUCCGUCUUCAACCUGACCAAUCAGCACUCCCCGCUUCCCAAGCUCCUACUCGCCAAAUUAUCUUUAAGAACUCUGAUCCUCAAAUGCUCAGGGAGACUAAUUUGUGUAAUAAUAAAACUCUGGUCUCCCACACAG
rnacentral:lncRNA from 10 species